CAAGGAUCUGUAACCCCAUCUCCAGGGGAUCCAACAGGCAAACACAUGGUACACAUACAUGCAUGCAGAUAAAACUAAUACACAUUAAGUAAUUCAAUCUAAAUUUUUUAAAUGUUUAAAAUUCUAUUUCACUCCAUUCUAAACAUUUUCUAAUGGUAUGUCACUGUGAUUUGAUUUUGACCUUUGUCCCCUUUCCAGCCUCAUCGGGACAGUGAUAUUUAUUUUUUAAAAAAUCCUCCAUGAACUUCACUUAAUGAGAUUUGAUGUGUGUGUGCAGCCUUAAUACUUCCCUCCAUGCAAAACAAUAAACACACUCACCAACCUCUGUACUCUCUACCCCACAUGCUCCAUUCUGUUCAACCCACAAGAAGCCACAGGUCUUCCUGUCACUAAAGCCUAUUGUGUGCUUUUAGAAUUUUGUAUGAACACAAUCAGAUUGGAGCUUCCAUUUGGCAACUCGUUCUCUGGUCUGAAGCACUUCCAUUAAUGUUCAUGGCAGGCACAUACAGGAACCAUCCUGUGCAUACUUCAAGGGAUGAAGUGGUCCAGGAAAGAUGACUAGCUUCGUUCAUUUGUCACAAGACCCACACUCAACACCCAAGACUCACAGCUUUCUCCUCUUGGAGGCUCCGUACCAGUGGUUCUCAACCUGCGAAAACUCGCCUGUCAGAGGUCAGACAGAUCCUGAGCUAUUCUGUGACAUAACAACCUCAGUCAGGUCCUGGAAGUGAGACACUCUCAGGUCAAGUGCACGAGGGACAGCAGCCUGGACGGAUGUAGACUGGAGGGUGUAUGGCUGUCUGUCCCUUCCUACUGCUUGCCUGCGUCCCCACUCACACCAUUUACACUUCACUUACCACCAGAUAAGUGGUUCAUGUUGUGAUUACAGCAGUCAGGAAGCUGAGGCAGGGGGUUUGUGGUCUUUUAUUCCCCCAUUACCUCAUUCUUCGACUAAAAAAAAGAAAAUGGUGAUGUAGCUACAAGAACCCCGAUGGGAUCCCUGGACCUUACCAGUGCCAGCACAGGAGUUUUGAUAAAUGUAAAACCUCCUUAACCAGCAAGUAGCUCAAACAAGACGAAAAUCUCAAUGCCACAUAGAACAGCCCACUGUGUCCCUCUCUAGUUGCCACCCGCCUCCAUUCCAGAGCGGCUGCUCUGGUUUCAUCACCCAGGGCUCCAGAACUUGAUGGUUGUUUGUCUACCACAGCAUCUGUUCGCAUCCGGAUAAUCUCAAUCCACGCUAUGGUAUUUCAAGAGAUGCUUUCAUUUGUAUCCUUCCUUGGCAUUGGGUAGUCUCCGGUGUCACUUGCUGAACAGCCUGUCUCCCAUUCAUUUGCUCAGAACAGUUGUCCAAAAUCAUGCUCUUCAAGACACACAGGGGUGGGCCUAGGCCCUAUCCCAAAGGAGCCGAUAGACUCUGAUGAGCCCCUAUGGAAGGCCUCACCCUCCAGGGGGAGCAGAAAAGAUAUGUGACAGAUAAGGUUUUAUUUGGGGGUGGGGAUGGUAGGGGAGGAUGGGAGGGAGAAGGAAACUGG
rnacentral:lncRNA from 1 species